AACAUUCUUAUAUGAUUCAUACACAUUCAGACUUUCUAUUUAAAAUAAUACAUUUAUACUAAUCCAUUAAAGCCAAGAUAACCCAUUAACUCAACAUCAAUGUAAUUUCCACUACAUUCAAUACAUUCAUAAUUAAUUUCCAUAACAAUAGUUUUCCAUUACAAACCAACCCAUAGUCACAAUUUUAAUUUAUAAUAUUCCAUUCAAUAAUUCAAUCCAAAAUUACAAAGAAAUCACAAGUUACAAACCAAUGUCCUGUUACAAAGUUACAUGAAGCAAGAUUAUAUAACACUUUUUUUUUUCAUCCUUCAUGCCAUGCCUAACCUUCACAUUGCCAAAAGCUUAAGUGUUCAAUCCUUACCUGCACAAACAAGCCACCAUUAGUAAAACUAUCCACAUUUAAAUCCAAGCAUACAAACAUUCCAUAUAUAAUUCAUUGCACUUCCAAGUUGAUCCAACACUUACCAAUCUAACAUGGCAUAACACUAACAUCUAUCCAUUUUGUUAAUCCCAAUUUAAGUAACUAAUAACAAUUGCCAAGAGUUUCCAUGUUGAUUUUAGAAAUAAUUAUCACUUAAUUCUGAAUUAACUCCACAACCUUUUAACAUAACAUUCAAUUCAGCUUAUACUGCAGCUAAUAGUGGUUUUGCACAACAGAAUUCCAACACAUUUCAAACUAAUGCAAAAAAUAACAAUCAAACAUUCGGGCACAGUGUAUUGAACUAAUGACAACAAGAAUCAGUUAACUCCCUCCACCUGUCAUGUUUCCAGAAUAAAACAGACCUAUAAUCCGACUUCUAACAAUUUCUAUAUUUAACUCUUUUACUAACAGUAAGUGUUGCUAACACACAAUUAAUUUUAGUAACAAUUGAGUAUUUAGCAUAAAGGACUGAUUACAGAACAACUACCUUGCUAAUUUAUUCUUGUUGGAGUACGAUCGCCGUCGUAUUUGUUGUAACAGCUCAAGCUCCAAUUUACCUGUGAUUGAGGAAAAUACCAUCAGUAUAAGUGUAAGUUCGACAUGCCGCCAAAUCACUAACUCACUGCAGGAUAAAAUAACCCACUUAACAACCCUGCACAUUCGUUAAUGGAUAAAGUCAAGUACCACUGUGAACGGAAGUAAUGCAUUACAGAGAAUCGAAACUCACUAACUAACUGUGUUCACCCACCUCUUAACUAUUACUAAUCAGAAAUAACCAAGAUUCUAACAAAACCGUAAUUCUAACAGAUUCACUGCUAACGGAAACUUCAGAAAUUCAUAACAAAGCGCAAUAUAAUUACUAACUAGCCUUUUCAACAGCCUGUCAUACAACUUCAAUAGAAAUUAAAAUAACAGAACAGCAUCUUUCAGAAGUUAAUAAAUAUAACAUGAUUAACAAGUUUCACAAAACUGAGAUCCUCUGAAUACACCAAGGCAGGCAAGAUUUCAAUCAAAUUCACUUUCAUUCAAUGAGCUUCGUAACUAACUAAAUAAUUGAAUACAAUUAACACUAACCAACUUUUACCUCAACCUGCAAAAACAUUAGGUGCCCUAACAGAAACUGAAUUAGCAUAUAACUAACCCUAACAGAAACUGAAUUAGCAUAUAACUAACCCUAACAGGUAACUGACCUGCCCGAUUCGGUUAUAAACUAUCCUAUAUAACAGAGCCACCUUGUUCAGUUUCAGAGUUUCUACACAUACCUCAAUCUGCAAAGCGUUGGAGUCCUCACUCUCCAUCGAUCCUUCAUUCUCCAUUUUCAAAUCUACAACUUCUUCUCAACUCUUCAAUUUGCAGUCUUCAAUCUUCAUCUUCUUCACCAAUCUUUUCCUUCUUCUCCACCACCUUCAUUCAAACUCACAUAUGGAAUCAUCUUCUUUCUGUUUCACACUUUGCUCACCUUCAUCCUGUCAUCCUAAUUCGUGCUGCAACUCUAGAAUCUCCUCUCUUCAUCCUGCAGAGAAAACAAUCAAAGACCUUCUUUCAUUUUCGGAAGGAAAUCCAAAAAAAACUCCGCACAAACCAGAAGACCUGCAGAACUUCAACCUUCGUGAUCCGCAGCUGUAUCCACACGAGCCUUGGUCGCACCACUAGCUUGGCCUCCUCCUAGUUCCACCUUCACUCAUCGAAAGGAUUCAAAAUCGCAGCAAGCAUCCUCACGAGUCGCUACAAAUCUCAGGAGAGCAAUUUGCUCUUCAGCUUAUUCGCGGCACGAAACUGAAGAAGAACAAACGGAAGUCACCACAGGGAAAUUAUUCAUUCAAACAAAUCGCAGUGUAGAGAAAGACGAUGAGUUCGCAAAAUAAGCGAUACCUGUGAAAUCGAAGUCGUCUCCGAAGCACCACCGUGCCGAUCUGGUACGUUAUUUUCCACCUUCGCUUAACUUAUUUGCCAUGGAAUGUUGUGAUUCAAGCGUAGCGUAUUUUUCCUGUAACCGUGAAUCCCGCCAUUACAUGGGACUCGAUCUAUGAACUAGAAAUUGUGCAAGCUGCCAUUGAUGAAUUUAAUUUGAGAAGUUUGAUCGGAUUCGUAUUGGAUUCCGUUCGCGGUGGUUGGUGAAGGUGAAGAUGAAGAUGAAUUCAAAUUCGUGUGAUUAAGCGUGGAUUUUGUGCAUCGUUGCCGGCACGGUCUGUGAAGUGAGAAGAGACGAAGCGAGAAGCGUUUGGUUUAACGUUGAUCCAUGAGGUGCUGAAGGCUCAUAUGCAUUGAACUGAAUUCAGACCCAGGAGAACCUUGGGCUUGAGGCCCAAACUUUCUGUUCACACCCCCUGCUCACGCGCGUACCCUUCUUGAGGACUCAUUAGGAAGAGGGUAAUCCUGGGCUUCAUUCCCAGGCCCAAUAGAUCCAUUGCCCGUGAGGCUCAGAUCCGGGCCCAAACAUUUG
rnacentral:lncRNA from 1 species